UUCAAAUUCCAAAGAUGAUUUUCCAAAAUGUUUUAUAUCCAAUUCACUCAGAUGCGAUUGAAAGAAAAUAAUUCAAAAUGUAAGAAGUUUUGGAAAAGUUUUUCAUCGCCAACUCAUUCCGCCAAAGACGGUGACACAAAAUGGGAUUAUCAUGACCACACAACUGAUUGAACUUGUCAAAAUUAAAGAGUUUCCUAAAUUGUUACAUUUCCAACUCAUUCCCCAGAAGAUUAAAAUAGAAUACAAAUCUUGGCAGCUGAAGAGACUAGUAGAAAACCCACAAAGUAAAGAAAAAAACAAAAAAUUAUUCAAGAAAGCUGUAGAAGGAAGAUUUUAUCAAUGUUUUAGUUGCCAAUUGUUCCAAAAUAGAUGGAACAGAUAAUUAAGAACGUUUUCAAGAUGAAGGAACUGCAUAUAAAUUGUUAUUGUGAUAAAAAAUUAGAUGUGUAUAAAAUUAA